UAAGCUAACCAAAUUGGCCGCUAGGUGGUUGGACGACCGUCGGGUGGGGACACAACGGACACCGAGAAGGCGCGUGCCGCUUCGCGUCCGCGCCGACGCGUUUGGGCCGUAAAUGCGUCGACGGGAUGCGAAGCGGACGUGAUUUGGGUUUGGAUCGGCGCAUUGGGUCUCCACUAUUGUUCGUACCGACCCAAACAGACGCAGGCGGACGAAAUGGGUCGCCUAAUACCCAAUAUCUUGCUAUCCCCAAGUGGGUCCGACGUGGGCCAUUAAUGUCGUCGUAUUACACCACGUAUUGAUCAAUUAUGUGGGCCAUUUAUGCCUUUGUAUUACACCACGUACUGAUCUUGCAUUCUUAAGAAGUUGAUCCCCACUACUAGCAAUUCUCUACAUGCACACUAUCCACAUCAUCAUGAUGCCACAUCAGCGUUCAGUUUUCAAUCGGCCAAUCAGUCUCGGUCUGUUUCCCUAGGCGUAUCCACCUCAUCGGUCCAUCCAAAUCAGCAACUCCACAUGCAUGUAGAUCAACAACUCUCCACAUGCACCACGACAUGCGUUUUGUUUCCAGCCGUAAACACCAAUCAACUAAUCUCUAACAUGCAGCCUUCAAUGUGAGCAAGUCAAUAUUUUUUGUUUGCCUCUUCGUCUGAUGGUUCCUUCCAUCUACCAUCCACCAAUAAAACUCCACCAUAUCUUCCUGAUUCUUCACCUUCCUUCUUUAUUCGUGACACUCUUCAUAUUGCGGUGCCGCUGGUCAAGCCUUCUCUGGUUGCCUUCACCAAAAAUCUGCAGGCUUGAAGCGCAAUUCGGCUUCCACAUGCAUUCCCCAUGCUACUAUAGAGAAUCUUCAUACAGAUCACAAACGGAUAGAGUGCACUGAUGCCCAUCUACCAGAGAAAUAGGUUGGAUGGCAAUCAGUUCUGCAGACGUAGCAGCGGGGCUCGGCGCCAUGAGCCGGAGACAUCGAUCGUCGACUGAACUCGCUAGAGCAGCGAAGACCAUACAGAUGAUGUAAUAUUAGCAAAGCUCUACUAUCAUAUAACGCACAAAUCGGGAGGGAUGUCCAACUGCACUGUACCGCGGGGGCAUUAGAGGGAGGCCACGGUCGCACGCACAAUCGUCAAGGACGUGCACUGCUGCUCUCAGGUCUGCGGGAACAUCAAUUUAUGAUGGAAAGGUCGUCGUUGCCUCGAGCGUUGCCUAAGCCUCCAUCGAUGCCUUAUGUUUGCCAGUCCUAAUGGCUGAAUCUGACUUAUGUGGCUCGGGUGAACACCGCGAUGUCCUAGCCACGCUGCACAUGCGGCGGCCUACGGAGGAGUCCGCACAUGGCGGUAGUGACAGGUAUCUCCUCUUGCCGCUGUUUGACCUGGGUCGAUCCUAUGUUGCGCGAUCCAAAGUCGCGGGUCUGUGGGUCUCAUCUUAAUUGGAGUAGUAGCGUGGAGACCAUCAUGAUGAGACGUGAUCAGAUGAGCAUUUCUAAUGGCCUCGCUAACAAAUGCUUCUAUCAUCAUCCAAACAGGUAGAUGUCCCGUACACCCCGUUGGAGCUCCCUCAGUGUGCUUACCUCUCCCCUGAUGGCUUAGUGUUUUUCUCUCGAGAUCGAGUUCGUAAAAAGCAUUAUUUCAUCAACUCACUUGAUCACCAAGCAAC